GAUAUGCGGUCACAUGACGGACAGGGCUGUAUUAAGUGAGCGUUUUGGUUGAGUAGGGGGGAUGAUUGAACUUGUCUUUGGGUGGAUGUCGAAGAAUAAGACCGACACUCGCUGCUAAUCCCGUCUCCUCUUCAGGGCAUAUAUAGGAGGUAACUGAAAUCCAAGAUGGCUGAUGAAGAAGAAGUCGUGGAGGUGGAACAACCAAAGAACUACAGACUCUUCACAACCUGCUCAAACUCUUGGUACAGGACCUCACCACACGGGUCAAGAAGGUUUCCGUCUCAUUUCUACUCUGAAGCUCACCUUCUCCUGCUCAAACUGCUGACAAAUGUUUCUGCUGCUCUAAAGUCUGGUCUCCAGAACUUCCUAAAAACUCUCAAAGUCUCUUCUGCUGCAGGUUGCUUUGUAGAACUGUUCCAGAAAACCUCACUAAACUACAUGGAAAGGCCUCAAGAUAGUCGUCCAAAUGAAACUGUACAAAAACCAAACUAGCACAACCCAAACACUAAAGUCUCCUGCAGCCUACCAGAGAACCUCUGAGAACAGAGAAUCAGGACAGGAACUCUUACCUUCUGGACAACCAACGUUAGUUCUCAAACAAGAAUACAGAAUGUGUCUGACCAAAAACCUCUGAAGACUCACUACAGCCAAGAUAAAGACACAACUCAGCUGCACCAAAUCCACUAAUCACUGCAUACAUUAGCACCAUGUGCUAACUGUGGCUAAAGAACCACAUUUACCAAGACAACUAUCCAGUACAAAGCCCUAAAACACACCAAGAAACACAUUAAAGAUGAUUUUACUGCUGGAAGCUGCAAGCCAACGCCUAAAGAACAAACUAACGCAAUGGAGCCAAACCCAGUUCAGUGGUGAAGAGAAGCAGAGGAAAUGUUUGUCUGCAGCUAAAUAAAGCAGGAAGACACUGAGCUGCUCAGGUGUUCCUGAUAACACCAAUCAGCCACCUGGACAGCCAAUAGGAACACAGCUUACUGGAAGUCCAGAGGGCUGGCUUAGUGAAGGAAAUUUAAUUUAAAGUUGAAGCAGAAAGUUAACAAAGAAAGUUGAAAACCACCUUCUGAUACCUGAAAUCUCUGAGUUUUCACACAAAGAACACCUGAACAUGUCAAACUGGUUCCAUAGUAGAACCAUCAUUGUAAAAACGUCAUAGUAUGGUGUGUUGCUCAAAAAACAUUAGGACCCGGCUGUCAGGGGACAAACAUGUAAGAAACAUGAGAACAGAGAGAACCCAACCAGUAGGUCACAGUUUAUCAUCCCCCAGUCAUCUCCCGAAGUCCAUAUGGUGAGAGACAUCAGUAUCUGGUUGUUAAUUUACCAGAGGAUGCUUAUAAUCAUGCUGAUGUGGUCUGUACUCUACAGUAUUUUAGUGACUCAAUAAAUGCCUAAGUUGUUUUUUUAAAAAUGCUUUUUAGUUUUUAAUCAACAUUUAAGGGCCUAUAUGUGAUCAAUAAAUGGCCUUUGCCUAUCUUAAGAAAAAUUCACUCAGAACUCUGAUAUAUUAACAGUACUAAAUAAAUCAAUAAAUACAUGCAUACACACAGAAAUAAGUUAAUACAUUAACUGUGUUAAGAUAAGAUUUAGAUUUUUAAAAAAAAGUUGUUUAUGUUUUUGCAGAAUCCAGUAUUACUCACUGGUUGGUCAUUACAUUUUGUUAGUUUGAUUUCACUGUUUAAAAUGAUGCCACCUCUUUUCAGACAGAACCUGUGAUAAUAAAGCAAUACAAAAUUUUUAGUUCCGUGUUAAUAAAGCACUUAAAGCUUUAAGUAUGGCUAAAUGCUUUUUUCAAAAUUAAAUAUAUCACUCCUUAGGUGGUAGUGGCCCCAAGUUCAGUAAAGUUGGAAAGAUAUUCACAGAUUCGGACUUCCAGCAUCAAUAACUCAUUAGAUAUAGGUUGUCAAAACAUAAACGGUGCCUCUUUCCCAUUGUUGCAAGGCAGACAAUGUGCUACAAGCCCAGUUUUAUCAAAAGUAGCUGUCUUUCAAGCUACAGGAAUAACAUUGGUGUCUAUGGAGUGAACAGGGUCCGUCUGCAAUUAGCAAAACCGCUGCAACAGUAAAGAGAGACAAAUAUUCAAUAACUUCACUCUUAUACAUUGUAGUGUCACUAAAAUCACUGCAGCCUUCAACUGGCUCCUGUUGACAAAGUGUUUUAACAGAAAUGUAAAUGCUGUAAUUUGAUUCUUUUAAUGAACCAUGUAACUUGAAUGGAUGUGAUGCUGGUGUGACCACAGUGCACACGUCUUAUGUUGCUCACAGUGGUCCAAGGGACGCUCAGGGAGUUUGUGUGUUUGUUCAGACUCAUGAAAAUUUAGAGGGAACAUUGGUCAUAUUGUACAUUUUUCUCCAGAAUUUGUCCUCCUAAUUUUACACUUUAAUAGGAUUUUAAUUGCAGGAUUUCAGUUGCAAUGGCAUAUUGUUACACUGUACUUAAAGACUGAUUAAAAAGUCACAUAUAGGACAAACACACACAAUAAACACGAUUAUUUUCCCCCAACUUUUCUCCUUUGUGCCGAGACGCUGCUUUGAUAUCUGACAUGCUACAAACCGCUCACAGGCUCAGUUUGUCAUCCAAGAUCAUUCCCCGUUUGUAGCUUUGUUCAGAAUGAAUGUCAAACACCAGCGCUGUUUUUCAGUGCAUCCCAAGAGACAAUAUCACAGUGCUCAGAGUGUGACCAAAUCCCUCCUGCAAGCUGUUUGCCAGAGUCGCAUUGAUCCACUAAUCCAUAUUUUGUUCACUCAGUCAUGGAAACACUGAAAGAGAAAAGGUUUGUAUGACUUUUUUUGUCUGUAAAUAAUACCCCUUUCUUCUUGUGUUUUUUUUUGUUGUUUUACUUACACUCCUGUGGCAUAUUGUUGUGUGCAUGUGUGUUCUUCUUUUGUCGUGUUUUUGGCAAACAGUAACACAACUUGGCUUCUUUAAUUCUCGUUAGAAAUAGAAGACGCUGCACCUGAAGUAGACGGUAAUUGUCCUGUUUGAACAUAUUUCCAUGUGCCAUUAUAAUUCCAUCUGUGUUUUUAUAGAACAUGAUAAUAUUUAUACACAAAUGUAUUUGUUAUUAAAAUAGUUUCAUGUGUAGUCGUUGUCAAUGCCAUUACAAAUGUUACAUGAACACCUGUUAUAUAUUAGUAACACAGAUUCAGUGAAAAUGCUUUUCAAACACAGUCUCCACCUGCAUGUUACAGUGAAAUUAAAUCAUUAUUAGCUUUCUCAUGUUCAGUAUUUGCUAAUCACUGCUGUGGUUGGCUGCCAAGGAGCCGCCUGCUGAGUUAGAGUUGGAUGAAUUUAUGCCAGAAUGAGAGAUCUAUUUUGUGAAAAUAGGACCAUCUAUUCAGACAAAAAUUACUGUUUAUGCACCAUAAAAAACUCAGUACUGAUAAUUGUUGAGAUUUAGUUUCACCUUUUGCUGAGAAAAUAUCGACAUGUGAGAUAUUUUGUAAUCUGUCUGACCAUUUUUCAUUAUUAUUUCAUGUUUAUUUGACUGCAAAUAUGCAUUUCUUAUUUUAAAAGAGAGAUUGUUAUCCUGUAGCAUGAAAUCUAAUCAUAUUUUCAUUCUUUCUCACC